CGUGCAUUUUCUCCCAGAUCUAAGAAGGACUUCAAGUUUCGAUGCUUAGAACAUUAGGCCUCCCAGCAAACUGAACAUUUGGUUAGACUAAAAGUAGAGAAUUCUGGAACUGAAAUAAUCUCCCGAGUACAAAGGUCAGCAAGUGUUAAGAGACUCAUACCCUGCCCUCUAAGACCGAUGGCAAAAAGCACGGACUGGAAGAUUUGUCUUUAAAAGAUGCCAAGAGAACUCAAGAACAUGUUCUUUUGGGAGCUGACCAAUUAACCUGGGGAUUGACAUCAUCAGGAGGCCUAUACAAUUCAGCUUCUUGGAUCUACCAGUUUCAAGGAAAAGUCCUUAAAUCUAUCAUUUUUGGCUACGUCUCCAGAUGCAAGGCCCACUGGCUGGCUGUCAUAUCAGCUCGUAGGUGCCCAGCUGAGGUGGAAUGGACAUUCCUGUGUGCGGGGAAGGCUCAUGCGGAGGCUUCUCCUGACCUGUACGUGUGGGGGCAAAGCCAUUCCGAAGCAAGAGACCCACUGCUUACUAACCACAGAUGUCUGGGAAUGCUCCAGCAGCAGCGAGCAGCUACAAACCUCACCUAUGAUCUUUAUUGAAAUUAAAUUUUUGUGGUCUCUCCUCACACAAUCCUUUUCCCAAAACCAAUUUACAUAAUUUGGUAUAAUUUGAAAUGAUUGACAUGGGUUGCUAAUUGUUGGGGUAGAAACUAGACCCUCACAGUAGCUAAGUCUCGAAGGCAAAGGUUAGAAUCCAGCAACCGGUAGUGUGGGUCGAAUUGAUAUUAGUUUAAUAAUCUGUAAACUAUGCAAGAAAAAUGUAAUUGUCCUACAUUACAAGGGUAGUCCUUCCACUGCACAGUUUAUUCAAAUGUAUAAUCUAAAUAAUUGAGUACCUCUGCCUACAAUAGAGCGUUUCCUCAUAUGCAAACACCAUUUAAUAGACAGUUAAAUCCAAACAGAUGGAUAAAAGAUGCCAGAACAUAAUUGGUUUGCUUUUGAUUAUUUCAUUGAUACCAAUUUACUUAAAGAGCAAGUCUGGACAUGGUAGGAUUUAUUGUCACAGAAUAUUCGGUUUGACAGAGAGGAGUUAAGGGAUUCAGUGAUCCCCGUUCAGCCUCCACACGUGAAAGCUUGGGGAGAAAUGAAAUCUUGACCAAAUGUUUGGCUUUGUCUUUGCUUAGAGCUAACAACACAAACCUUUGAUAAAACUAAAGUCUUCUUGUUACUUGAGAUCUUCUUAAUGGUUUCUUGGUUUCACAGUAGGUACCCACCUACUGCAAAUUCUUCUGAAAAGCUGGAGAACACUCAAUUUUAAAAAAUAUAAGAAGUAAUUAUUGAUGAUUGUUUUUAAAACACAGCAGCUAUACUUCCAAGUCUUAGUUAAAUUACUGUAUUUUAAGGGAUCCUGGAUGUUUUCUUUAAGCAUGUUAAAUAAAAUCUGAACACUGAAGGAGUAUAGCCGUGAA
rnacentral:lncRNA from 1 species